UGGGGAAUAUUGGACAAUGGGGGCAACCCUGAUCCAGCAAUGCCGCGUGUGUGAAGAAGGCCUUCGGGUUGUAAAGCACUUUCAGUGGGGAGGAAGGGGUUAUUGUUAAUACCGAUAAUCAUUGACGUUACCUACAGAAGAAGCACCGGCUAACUCUGUGCCAGCAGCCGCGGUAAUACAGAGGGUGCAAGCGUUAAUCGGAAUUACUGGGCGUAAAGCGUGUGUAGGUGGUUGGAUAAGUUAGAUGUGAAAUCCCCGGGCUUAACCUGGGCAUUGCGUUUAAGACUGUUUAACUAGAGUACUGUAGAGGAUAGUGGAAUUUCCAGUGUAGCGGUGAAAUGCGUAGAUAUUGGAAGGAACACCAGUGGCGAAGGCGACUAUCUGGAUAGAUACUGACACUGAGACACGAAAGCGUGGGGAGCAAACAGGAUUAGAUACCCCGGUAGUCC
rnacentral:rRNA from 1 species